CCUACGGGAGGCAGCAGUGAGGAAUAUUGGUCAAUGGGCGCGAGCCUGAACCAGCCAAGUAGCGUGAAGGAUGACUGCCCUACGGGUUUUAAACUUCUUUUAUAAAGGAAUAAAGUGAGUCACGUGUGCCUUUUUGUAUUUACUUUAUCAAUAAGGAUCGGCUAACUCCGCGCCAGCAGCCUCGGUAAUACGGAGGGUCGGAGCCUCAUUCGGAUUGAUUGGGUUUAAAGGGUACGUAGGCGGUCAGGUAAGUUAGAGGUGAAAGCUCGAUGCUCAACAUCGAAACUGCCUCUGAUACUGUCUGACUAGAGUGUAGUUGCGGAAGGCGGAAUGUGUGGUGUAGCGGUGAAAUGCUUAGAGAUCACACAGAACACCGAUUGCGAAGGCAGCUUUCCAAGCUAUUACUGACGCUGAGGCACGAAAGCGUGGGGAGCGAACAGGAUUAGAUACCCGAGUAGUC
rnacentral:rRNA from 1 species